rnacentral:RNase_P_RNA from 1 species
CCAGUCGGCCGGACGGCCGCCGUGCAUGCACGGAGGAAAGUCCGGGCUCCAUGGAGACACGGCGCCGGAUAACGUCCGGCGGGGGUGACCCCAGGGAAAGCGCCACAGAAAGCAAACCGCCUCGGCCUGCCGCAAGGCAGAAACGGGGUAAGGGUGAAAGGGUGCGGUAAGAGCGCACCGCGCGGCCGGCAACGGGCGCGGCAUGGCAAGCCCCGCCGGGAGCAAAACCGAAUAGGGAUGGCGGAGCCCGCAAGGGCUCGGGCCUGUCUUCAGGCCUUGUCAUCCGGGUUGGUUGCUCGAGGCGGUCGGCGACGACCGUCCUAGAGGAAUGGCCGUCACGCCGGCGCCCGCGAGGGUGGCCGGCCUUACAGAACCCGGCUUACAGGCCGGCUGGCGCC